GAUGAAGAACGUAGCGAAAUGCGAUAAGUAAUGUGAAUUGCAGAAUUCAGUGAAUCAUCGAGUCUUUGAACGCACAUUGCGCCCCCUGGUAUUCCGGGGGGCAAGCCUGUCCGAGCGUCAUUGCUGCCCUCAAGCACGGCUUGUGUGUUGGGCCCCCGUCCCCGGUUUCCCCCGGGGACGGGCCCGAAAGGCAGCGGCGGCACCGCGUCCGGUCCUCGAGCGUAUGGGGCUUUGUCACCCGCUCUGUAGGCCCGGCCGGCGCCAGCCGACACCCAACUUUAUUUCUAAGGUUGACCUCGGAUCAGGUAGGGAUACCCGCUGAACUUAAGCAUAUCAAUAAGCGGAGGA
rnacentral:misc_RNA from 1 species